ACUUAUCUAGCUUGGUUGGUAAAACAUAAGGCUCUUAAACUUGUGGUCGUGGGUUCGAGCCUCACAGUGGGCA
rnacentral:tRNA from 7 species